rnacentral:rRNA from 1 species
UCUAUUUGAUUUUCUUCGGAAUGAAGUUUUAGUGACUGAGUGGCGGACGGGUGAGUAACGCGUGGGUAACCUGCCUUGUACAGGGGGAUAACAGUUAGAAAUAGCUGCUAAUACCGCAUAAGCGCACAGUACCGCAUGGUACAGUGUGAAAAACUCCGGUGGUGUGAGAUGGACCCGCGUUGGAUUAGCUAGUUGGUGAGGUAACGGCCCACCAAGGCGACGAUCCAUAGCCGACCUGAGAGGGUGACCGGCCACAUUGGGACUGAGACACGGCCCAAACUCC